AAAAAAAAUGUAUUAUCAUCUCAGGCUAUCCCCAGCUCCCCACCAGCAUCCUUAUCCAUCCACAUGCGUCGUCUUCUCCGAUUAGCAGCCGGUGGAUGAAGAUGUCGCCGCUAGCCAUCACCGAACUGAUUCUCAAGCCAUCCCGACUCCACUUCUCGAUUCAUUUCUCCAAUUUCUCCUCGUCGAUGUACUGCGGCAGUUGGCCGUGUGCGCGGAGUGCGUGGACGCGUUUGUCGCGUUCUGAAGGAUGUGGCGGAGCGGCCAUGGGGAGGAGCAGGGAAACACAAAAGCUGCACUGCUCAACCUCUUCAUGGUCGAUGGCUUUUUACCAAGAACAAUGAACUGAAAGAAGUGCAUAAUGGCAGCGCGGGGCAAAGCUAGCGGUAUGCAACAGCAGAGAGGCCAUUGAUUUGCUUAUAUCCGGUUCUGCUAUUAAGUUACUGAAGCAAGGCCAGAAGUGCUUUGGCUGACUUCUUCCAACGUUGAUUGGAGCAAUUGUGCCUGGCUUUGUUGGGCGACCGGCAUGCUUUGGCGUGACUUCAUCGGGCGUUGUGUGAAGCGGCUGGGCAUGGAUUUUCGUGGUAGCUCUGUCAACUUCAAUCUGGUCAAGUCAUGGUGAUUGUUGACUUCUAAUUGCUUGGUGUGCGAUUGUGCGGCCGACUGUACUUGUUUAUAUGGGUUGAGGUGGCUGGGUUUGAGAUGGCCGAGACGUGUGGAAAUCUGAUUGUAACCUACUUGGAUCCUUUCUUUUUUGGAUUUUUCAUUCAGGUGA